ACCACGUAGCUCGAGCCACCACCGAUCCCCUCCACCUUUUUGCAAGAGCCACCGUCGAACCGUACGACCGAUUCGCAGAUUCGCAUUGCCGUGUUUCAACCCCGAAACGGCACGUCUUUGUCGCAAAUGAACUUCCACACGGAAUCCCCUUGUAAGCAUACAGACGGUGAUUCGAUCGAUCGACCAACAGUUUCCAAGUUUCGUGACCGUGCAAGAAGAUGACGAUGUUCGGUGGAAUGUUCGAAGAUACUGCGAUGCGAAAGACACAAACAGGACAAGCACUCAAUGUAUGGACUACGCUACAGGAGAAAGCCAGCAUUAAAGGGGAGCGUGUUCCUGGAUGAGCGUGCGUCUAUCCUUAACAAAUUGGCGACGAAGCUUACGAUAACGUAAAGAAGUCCGUUUGGAUACCCCGGUAAUUUUGAUAGAGGCAAUGAGUUACUCCUUCGUGUAAUUCAAUCCAUGCAUGGUAGAUGACGAUACGUAUAUUACUAUCCUUUCCAAAAUGUUAUUUAUGUUGAAUACGAGUGCUGAGAUUUGAAUAAAUAUAUUUUUUCUAGAAA